CCUACGGGGGGCAGCAGUGAGGAAUAUUGGUCAAUGGGCGCGAGCCUGAACCAGCCAAGUCGCGUGAGGGAAGACGGUCCUAUGGAUUGUAAACCUCUUUUGUCGGGGAGCAAAAAGGCCUCGUGAGGUCACAAGUGAGAGUACCCGAAGAAAAAGCAUCGGCUAACUCCGUGCCAGCAGCCGCGGUAAUACGGAGGAUGCGAGCGUUAUCCGGAUUUAUUGGGUUUAAAGGGUGCGUAGGCGGGAUGGCAAGUCAGAUGUGAAAUCCAGGGGCUCAACCC
rnacentral:rRNA from 1 species